GUGCUCUAUUCAGCAGCACACACAUUAAAACUGAAAUGAUACAGAGAUGAUUAGCAUGGAUCCUGAUCAAGGAUGACAAAUAUUUCUUAUCAAACAAAAGUUAUACCU